GUGCCGGCGAUGGCUCAUUCAAAUUUCUUCCCUAUCAACUUUCGAUGUUUGGGUAUUGGCCAAACAUGGUGGCAACGGGUAACGGAGGGUUAGGGCUCGACCCCGGAGAAGGAGCCUGAGAAACGGCUACUACAUCCAAGGAAGGCAGCAGGCGCGCAAAUUACCCAAUCCCGACACGGGGAGGUAGUGACAAUAAAUACUGAUACAGGGCUCUUUUGGGUCUUGUAAUCGGAAUGAGUACAAUUUAAAUCCCUUAACGAGGAACAAUUGGAGGGCAAGUCUGGUGCCAGCAGCCGCGGUAAUUCCAGCUCCAAUAGCGUAUAUUAAAGUUGUUGUGGUUAAAAAGCUCGUAGUUGAACCUUGGGCCUGGCUGGCCGGUCCGCCUCACCGCGUGCACUGGUCCGGCCGGGCCUUUCCCUCUGCGGAACCCCAUGCCCUUCACUGGGUGUGGCGGGGAAACAGGACUUUUACUUUGAAAAAAUUAGAGUGCUCAAGGCAGGCCUAUGCUCGAAUACAUUAGCAUGGAAUAAUAGAAUAGGACGUGUGGUUCUAUUUUGUUGGUUUCUAGGACCGCCGUAAUGAUUAAUAGGGACAGUCGGGGGCAUCAGUAUUCAAUUGUCAGAGGUGAAAUUCUUGGAUUUAUUGAAGACCAACUACUGCGAAAGCAUUUGCCAAGGAUGUUUUCAUUAAUCAGAACGAAAGUUAGGGGAUCGAAGACGAUCAGAUACCGUCGUAGUCUUAACCAUAAACUAUGCCGACUAGGGAUCGGACGAUGUUACAUUUUUGACGCGUUCGGCACCUUACGAGAAAUCAAAGUGCUUGGCUCCAGGGGGAGUAUGGUCGCAAGGCUGAAACUUAAAGAAAUUGACGGAAGGCACCACCAGGGGUGGAGCUGCGGCUAAUUUGACUC
rnacentral:rRNA from 1 species